GAUGAACGCUGGCGGCGUGCCUAAUACAUGCAAGUCGAGCGAACAGACGAGGAGCUUGCUCCUCUGACGUUAGCGGCGGACGGGUGAGUAACACGUGGAUAACCUACCUAUAAGACUGGGAUAACUUCGGGAAACCGGAGCUAAUACCGGAUAAUAUAUUGAACCGCAUGGUUCAAUAGUGAAAGACGGUUUUGCUGUCACUUAUAGAUGGAUCCGCGCCGCAUUAGCUAGUUGGUAAGGUAACGGCUUACCAAGGCGACGAUGCGUAGCCGACCUGAGAGGGUGAUCGGCCACACUGGAACUGAGACACGUUCCAGACUCCUACGGGAGGCAGCAGUAGGGAAUCUUCCGCAAUGGGCGAAAGCCUGACGGAGCAACGCCGCGUGAGUGAUGAAGGUCUUCGGAUCGUAAAACUCUGUUAUUAGGGAAGAACAAAUGUGUAAGUACCUAUGCACGUCUUGACGGUACCUAAUCAGAAAGCCACGGCUAACUACGUG
rnacentral:rRNA from 1 species